AGCGCACUGUGUGACCACCCUCUGCGCAGCCUCCCCAGAUGCAGAGACACUUGGGCAUUCCAGAGCCAUCUUCCCUCUGGGCCAGCUGGGGUUGUAAGGUUUCCCCUGUCAGGUUUCCCUGGGGCCACCUGUUGUCCUGACUGGGGGCUCACAAUGCCUCACUUCAACUUCACAUCUGCGGCCUAAAAACAAGAGGUUCAUGGAUUUGAGCCCUGAUCCUUGCUUUUCCAACGACCCACACCCAUUUUUCACCAUCCACCCAUCCCACCAGGUAGCAGAUUGGCCCGCACCAUGCACAAGGGUUUAAUUUGCACUGGGCUGCCUGGGGAGUAGCAAGUCACAGAGGGGCCUGUAUGGAGUGGCUGAAUCCCAGAGCCGGCAGAGUGUACCUCAUGUUAAGCAGUGAGUACAGUGGUCACCUUCAGAAGUGAGGACAGGACCUUCUAUCUUGCAAGGUGGACAGGGGCGUAUGUCUUCCACAACUCUAUCCCUGACUCAACACCAUCACUUCUUUACAGGGAAAAAAAAAAAAGGACGUAGCCUAGAGAGGAGCUGGCUCACCUAAAGUUUGCUUCUUCCUUCCAUUCGUUCCACAGUGUUUAUUGAGAUUCUGUCCCCAGGGCCCAACUCUGCGAGCAGGAAGCUUGCCUGUAUGGAGAAAGGCCAGAGUGACUCUGAUGGGCACUCUCAGGCCAGAAGAGACACCAGCAUGGGACAAUCACAGCCGCCCAGAACAAGUCUUCAGCAGGGCUCCGGGCCAUGGCCCUCCACAGUUUGUACAGCUCCUUUACAUGCAUCCUUGAAGCAGACAGGGAUAUGGCCAGGAAACCAAGACUCCGUGAGAGGCAGUACCUCGGCCAAAGGCUAAGUGUCCAGUGGCAGAGUUGGAGCCAGCACCCGGGUUAGCGGCCAGUGGAGACCCCACCCUGCCUUGCAGGGGAAGACAGGGUUAAUGGCAGGUGUGCUCCUGCCAGGGAGGGCCAGCGUCGGCCAGAGGACACAUAAGUGGGGCACAGUGGCACUGGCCGGAGUCUGAGGCAGCUGCCUCUCUGUGGAAUGAGACAGUGCCAGCUCCUCUCCGUGCAUACUGUGUGCCAGGCCCAAGCUGAUGCAGAAAGCAUCAUCCCCUGUUUACUGAUGAGGAGGGGGAGGCCUAGGGCAGGAAAUGACUUGUCAUGUCCACAACAUAAAGAGGGGAAGGUAAGACGCGAAGUGGGAUCCAGGGGCGCCUGGUGGUUCAGUUGGUUAAGCAUCUGAUUCUUGGUUUCAGCUUUAGGUCAUGAUCUCACAGUUCAUGAGUUCAAGCCCUUCACUGGGUUCAGCACUGGCAGCACAGAGCCUGCUUGGUAUUCUUUCUCUCCUCCCUGUCUCUGCUCCUCCCUCACUCACACUGUCUCUGUCUUAAAAUAAAUAAACUUAAAGAAAAAACGAUGUGAAGUGGGGUUCACCAAUCCAGAUAAGCCAGGUGCUGCUAUAUGAGCACAUUGGGUGGGCAGGCUUCACACUUGGUGAGCUCAGAGGGCAGGCAGCUGCAGCAGGCUUAAGCAGAUGGCAUUCAGCGGGCAUUGGUCAUCUCCGCUCUCAGCCACCAGAGGGCGGUGUUGAGCCAACUGUGCCUCUU
rnacentral:lncRNA from 1 species